rnacentral:rRNA from 1 species
GACGAACGCUGGCGGCGUGCCGAAUACAUGCAAGUCGAGCGAAUCUUUUGGGAGCUGCUCCCGAAAGAUUAGCGGCGGACGGGUGAGUAACACGUGGGCAACCUGCCUAUAAGACUGGGAUAACUUCGGGAAACCGGAGCUAAUACCGGAUACGUUCUUUUCUCGCAUGAGAGAAGAUGGAAAGACGGUCUCGGCUGUCACUUAUAGAUGGGCCCGCGGCGCAAUAGCUAGUUGGUGGGGUAAUGGCUCACCACGGCGACGAUGCGUAGCCGACCUGAGAGGGUGAUCGGCCACACUGGGACUGAGACACGGCCCAGACUCCUACGGGAGGCAGCAGUAGGGAAUCUUCCGCAAUGGACGAAAGUCUGACGGAGCAACGCCGCGUGAACGAAGAAGGCCUUCGGGUCGUAAAGUUCUGUUGUUAGGGAAGAACAAGUACCAGAGUAACUGCUGGUACCUUGACGGUACCUAACCAGAAAGCCACGGCUAACUACGUGCCAGCCGCCGCAGUAAGAC